ensembl:lncRNA
CUGGUGGAUCAGCUCAGAGCGCAGGACUCAGAAUACUCAAACGGCUGCCUGGAAGCUGAACUUCAAAUAAAACAGGGCGCGGCGUGAGUGUGCGCACAGCUGUGAAUCAUUUAAAACAGCUUCUGUCCAAUCGUGGUUAAGAAUGUCAGCACCUCCUCGAACCUCACCAAACCUUCCCUCCAAAAGUCAAAGAAUGUCCCCGCCCACAAACACCCCCCCCCCCCCCCCCCAACUCUUUAAGCCCCGUUUUCCCGUCACCUCUUCCCUGCGUGUUGAAUCUUGCCCUACUCAAAGUUUCCUCCCUUUGUUUGUGUGCGCGCACUUCCACUAAACACUGCAGCAGCACUUUAACGCAGCGCUGCGACAGCCUGAAGGUAAAGCUGCAGGAGGGAGGCAGCCGGGGUUAUGGAGGGACCCCUGCACUGUACCCGUGUGUGUGUGUGUGUGUGUGUGUUACAGCAUUCAUGUGUUUCCCUGUUAGUGCUUUCAGGGAGUUUGAGACCUGCUCUCUGAUUGGUGGGCUGACAGCACCCCUCAUUAAUCACAGACUGAGCUUCCAGUUACUGCAGGUAAUCAGAGUAAAAGUGAGCGCGCUCAGAUCGGGCUGAGCUCCUGCUUUACACCAGCUGCUCUUUCUCUCAUGUGAGUGGGACGGACAAAAUAUUAGAAACACCAGGCCGUGCGAUGCUGUUUAUCAGGAGAAGCGCCGAUCGCAGCCUGCGCGAUGCAGGACUGAGCGCAGACGCUUUCACUCGUGGAUCGUGUGCACACCUUUGAUGGGGACCGUCUGACCGGACUGUUGGCGAUUUCAAAAUGGAGCAGCCUGAGUAAACAUCGUUCCAUGUUUUAUCUGAAUGCCCGCGGUGGAUGAUGGCUGGAACAGGAACGUUAUAAAUGCUAAAAAUAAACACUGCCAGGAUAAACUGAGGUUUCAGCAGGAUAAAGAGAGUCACUCAUUGUAGCUGUCAGUGCGUCAGCUUCAGCUCAGGAAGCGUCUCAGUCUCAGUUUUUCGGUGUUGUGAGUUUUGCAGAGGAGGCGGCGGUGAGACAAAGAAUAAAGUUUGUUAACAGCGAGAGAAGAAGAAGAAGAAGAAGAGAGGAGGAUCCAGUGAUACAGGAACAUGGAGACGGCAGACAGAGGGACAGAGGGACGAGGCUUCGCAGGAAACCAGCUGGAUCCGUCUGGCUGUUCCUCCGGGCUGCACAGGUGAAUCAUGGGAAAUACAACUAUGGGAACUGUAGGCCUGCGCAGAGAAAGAGAAGAUGGCGUUAGCAGGAAUUCUGAUCUCCAGCCUUCAAAUUCAAAGACAAACAUGGAAGCCUGUUAGCACGAGGAGCUGAACUAGCAGACACAAAUACAACAGGUCACUUCCUGUUA